UACGGAGGGAGCUAGCGUUGUUCGGAAUUACUGGGCGUAAAGCGCACGUAGGCGGCUUUGUAAGUUAGAGGUGAAAGCCCGGGGCUCAACUCCGGAACUGCCUUUAAGACUGCAUCGCUUAAUCCAGGAGAGGUGAGUGAAUUCCGAGUGUAGAGGUGAAAUUCGUAGAUAUUGGAAAGAACACCAGUGGCGAAGGCGGCUCACUGGACUGGUAU
rnacentral:rRNA from 1 species